rnacentral:lncRNA from 1 species
CUCGUACCUUUGCUAACAGAUGUUACAUCUGAGUUCCCACUACUGUUAAAAUCAUGCUUGAUUGCUCUCUGUGGCCAGGCAGUUCUCAUCUGUUCAGCUUUGCCAUCUUUGCUGAUUCGUGUUCGAUCAGAAUUCCAAAGCUCAAAACUUGAGGGUGGUAAGAAAGGCGGUAUCACUGCUUUCAAUUUAUCACUAGGCAGCCUGGUAAAUGGAGCACUACUUCUCAACAUGGUUGUCAG